rnacentral:tRNA from 1 species
AGGAGUGUAGCUCAGUUGGCAGAGCGGCGGUCUCCAAAACCGUAGGUCGCAGGUUCGAAUCCUGUCACUCCUGCCA